rnacentral:misc_RNA from 1 species
GAUGAAGAACGUAGUGAAAUGCGAUAAGUAAUGUGAAUUGCAGAAUUCAGUGAAUCAUCGAAUCUUUGAACGCACAUUGCGCCCGCCAGUAUUCUGGCGGGCAUGCCUGUUCGAGCGUCAUUACAACCCUCAGGCCCCCGGGCCUGGCGUUGGGGAUCGGCAGAAGCCCCCUGUGGGCACACGCCGUCCCUCAAAUACAGUGGCGGUCCCGCCGCAGCUUCCAUUGCGUAGUAGCUAACACCUCGCAACUGGAGAGCGGCGCGGCCAUGCCGUAAAACACCCAACUUCUGAAUGUUGACCUCGAAUCAGGUAGGAAUACCCGCUGAACUUAAGCAUAUCAAUAAGCGGAGGA